GCCAAUUUUGGAGUUCAAUUAGCAAGUCCGAUUAUAAUGCUCUCAGAUUUGGGUUUCUUACUACUCAUCAACUUCCGUUAUCCUAUGAUUUUUUCAAUUACAUGGUCAGAAGUAUGGAUGAAGAAUUCAGGGAUAUCGUUGGUAUCAGCUUGCCUCUUUGGGUCUAUGCCAUAGUUUGCAUUUUCCUUGAUUUUCAUGGAACUAAUGUCUACUUUUGGCUUUCCUUUCUUCCGGCUAUUGUAAGCUGUUCAAUUCUUUGAUUCAUUCUAUGUUUGUCUAAGAUAAACCCCUUUUUUUUUUUUUGGUCCGGCUGAGUUACUCGUUUUAUGUUUUUGCUCGUGGAAGAUAAUUGUUGUAAUUGGUACAAAGCUGCACCACGUUGUGGUUAAGCUCGCAGUAGAGAUAAUUGAUUCACAAUCAUAUAUCAAUGCCCAAGAGUUUAAACUGAGAGAUGAGCUCUUCUGGUUUGGGAAGCCAUGGCUUUUACUUAGGUUCAUACAAUUCAUAUCUUUCCAAAAUGCAUUUGAGAUGGCAAUGUUCCUAUGGUCAUUG